GUAAUUUGUCACAUGACCAGAGCUGUUUACUUCCUGGUUGCACCAUGAGAAGACGAUGGCUGCAUCAAAGCUCCCAAACAAAAGUUUCACUUUGAGUCAAGUUCUGGAUAUGUUGGAUCUAGGUGACUGCCCAGACAAGGCAUGCAAACAUUGCAAUUAUCCCUCAUAAUGAGAAAGAUGCUGUCCUCCGUGAUUGUGAUAGUGACGGGUCAAAUAUGGACUAUGGACAGGCCAUUUGCCAGCCAGGCUGUUGAAUGCAUAUGCUGAUCCUAUGCAAACAGAUCAUGACAGGAACAACAUUAUCAGGGAUGAUGACCUAUCCACCCCCCAUUGUUAAUAAUGAAGAGCCAAGGGCCUCUACCUGACCGAGGGGUCAGCCAGGGGAAAAGCUGCAAGUGGUCAGAAAUAAAGAUUGAGUGUUCAAACGAUCAAAGAUGCCUGCCACCGAUGUGAUUCCAAACCACAAAGUAUACAGUCCAAAUGUGCAAAAGUUUGGCAAGAAACCACUGAGACACGGAAGGAGAUCUUUACUGGCUGUUACUGUUGAAGAUCAGGCAAGAUAUGACAAAGCUUCUUACUGGCCAAUCAACAUGAUGCACCGGUUCCAGAGAUGUCGUUAUUGUGACAAACGCACUACCUAUGCAAGUGAGAAAUGCAAAGCGCCACUGUACAUUGAGUGCUUCAAGAUAUACCAUGGACAGUAGAAAAGGAGAAUGAAAAAGGGCCGAAAAAGAAAAAUAGAAAAGUGGAUAAAGGGUGAGAAGAAGCAGUACAACAGACUCUUGGAAGAAAAUAAAAGUAGACGAAAAAGAAGUUUUUGGGGGUAAAGGUCAAUUGAUUCGACAUACUGUAUGACAGGUCUGACUGAUCGUGUUUCAAAAUAGUGAUGCACAAACUAAUCAUGCACUUGGUUCUGAAGCCUACCUCUAUUUUAUAUAUAUAUAUAUGCACUCAAUGUGGUGCUUUUUAUGUGUAUAUAUAUAUUAUUUUGUUUAGCAUAGGCCUCUACUUGAAUGCAUGUUCUACAGGCUACUUCUAUCCUAAAUGUUACCUUUAUGUUCAGUGGAAAUAAAUCACACGACUGCUAUACAGUUGUUAGUGAGUGUUGCACUAAAAUGUCACAAUGACAAUGUUAAAAUGAAUAUUGCACUAAAGUACAAGUUCAAAUGUUAAAGUAACAAUAUUCAUGUCUCAAUACAUGUUGCACAAAAGUAACAAUGUUGAAAUACGUUGAUGGUUGUUUUGUUUCUUUGUCUUUGCUCUCAGUAUUCAUAUCGGUGUUGUAUAAGGUAUUUUGAUGGGGGUUUUGUAUAAGGGUUUUUGAUAUGUAAAAUAAUCACACUAGAAUGUGAUGGGGCAUUCUAGUGGCAAUAUUGGGGACUGCCAGUGACAGAGUUUAAAAUGAGUUAAUAACUGGGCUGGGAUAUAUAAUAAUUUUGAUGACUGCCAAGGAGAAAUGUUAAUUCAGUAUACAUAACAUUAUCCCACCGGUCACAAUACACUUUCACCUACUUUUACAUGAAAAUGUAAAAAAAAUAAUGAUUGAUUAUUUCAAAGGGUUAUUACUAUGACACUUGAUUUGGAUAUUUUCAUGUCUGGGAAAAAUUUGAGAUUAAAUGGGUUAAGUGAAAAUGUAAUCACAAACCACUUUCCCUGCACAGUUUUUAUGUUCUGGACUUUGAGUUCAAAACUUAACAAAGUGAAACUAAAAGAAAUAUAAAACAAAUGACAGCUCUGAUGGUAGUUUCGGUACAAUUGUAUAAAUGCCGACUGAUCAUUUGUUUGUUCGACAUGGUGUGAUAUUUUUGCAUCGGUGUAAUUAAUUAUGCGACAAAUGGUGGCGGAAAUGCCUUUAUGUGCAAAUAUUUAUAUUAAUAGCAGUAAACUUGGAGUCACGCAAUCAUAUGGUGUGUGAUCCUCCAACUAUGACUUAUGAAACAAUGCAGUUUAUUCAGUCUGGCCUCAGACUAGACGUAACAUAGUAUACUGAACAAAAAUAUAAAUGCAAUAUCCAACAAUUUAAAAGAUUUUACUGAGUUACAGUUCAUAAGAGGAAAUCAGUCAAUUGAAAUAAAUAAAUUAGGCCCUAAUCUAUGGAUUUGACAUGACUGGGCAGGGGCACAACCAUGGAUGGGCCUGGGAACGGCAUAGGCCCAGCCACUUGGGAGCCAGGCUCAGUCAAUCAGAAUGAGUUUUUCCCAAGGAAAGGGCUAUAUUACAGACAUAAAUAUUCCUCAGUUCAUCAGCUCUCCAGGUAGUUGGUUUCAGAUGAUUCCACAGGUGAAGAAGCUGGAUGUGGAGGUCCUGGGCUGGAAUGGUUACACAUCGUCUGCAGUUGUGAAGCCGGUUGGACAUACUGCCAAAUUCUCUAAAACGAUGUUGGAGGCAUCUUGUGAUAGAGGAAUGAACAUUCAAUUCUCUGGCAACAGCUCUGGUGGACAUUCCGGCAGUCAGCAUGCCAAUUGCAAGCUGUGGCAUUGUGUUGUGUGACAAAACUGCACAUUUUAGAGUGCCCAUUUGUCCCCAGCACAAGGUGCACAUGUGUAAUGAUCAUGCUGUUCAAUCAUCUUCUUGAUAUGCCACACCUGUGGAUUAUCUUGGCAAAGGAAAAAUGCUCACUAACAUGGAUGUAAACACAUUUGUGCACAACAUUUUAGAGAAACCUUUGGUGCGUUUGGACAUUUCUGGGAUCUUUUAUUUCAGCUCAAGAAACAUGAGACUAACACUUUUACAUGUUGCAUGUAUAUUUUUGUUCAGUAUAUUUUUUAAAGAUAAUCUUUGAGUAUUAAUAAUUACCAAUACAAAUUAGACAAAGAUUCUAAAAUUCCAAAAAUGUUAUGGCAUUUGAUUUAAUGCCAAAUCAUGCCCCAAAUUCAUUAUGCCAAUGAACGCUCCCUAUAACUAGGUUUCCAUCUACUUGGCAACAGAUUUUCAUGCAAAUAUUCAACAGUGGUGUAUU